UACGUUUCUUCUCUCCUAGAGAUUUAUGCUUCUUCUCUCCAUGCCCGUACAUCUCUCUUCCAUGAGACUUACGUGCAGCCGUCGCCAAAAUACAUCUCAUCCAACUCAUCAGCGGAAGUUCAAUAGCAGUUCACGCCAGAUCCCAAAUCCAACUCAUCGGCAUCGGCAAUCGGCAAUGGUUAAUGGUAGAUCGGCGUCGGAAAUCGUCAUUGGUUAACGGCGGAUCGGUAUCGGCAAUCGGCAAUGGUUAACGGCGGAUCGGCAUCGGCAUCGGAAGUGGUUAAUGGUAGAUCGGCAUCGACAGUGGUUAAUGACAGAUCAUGUCAAAUCGGUGGAUGGCAUCCAGCGCUGGAUGCACACAUGCAGCGUGAUGCAAGAUCGAUGGCCUAUCAAGACUGGCCGCGGGGCUGUGUUCAACAUCGACCUUGCCGUGAUGCCCGACACAUCAGCGCCUCCUGCGUACCGCCGGGCAUGGACAUCUCCUCAACAGGUCAAACGGAUUAUAAUAGCAUUAUGCUUCUUAGGUACACGAGAGAUUCAUAAUCAUAUACCCAUUGGUCAGUGUCA